rnacentral:rRNA from 1 species
UACGUAGGGUCCGAGCGUUGUCCGGAUUUAUUGGGCGUAAAGCGCUCGCAGGUGGUUCGAUGCGUCGUGCGUGAAAGACCCCGGCUCAACUGGGGAGGGUCGUGCGAUACGGUCGGACUGGAGGCCAGUAGGGGGAUGCGGAAUUCCGGGUGUAGUGGUGGAAUGCGUAGAGAUCCGGAGGAACACCAGCGGCGAAGGCGGCAUCCUGGACUGGUCCUGACACUCAUGAGCGAAAGCGUGGGGAGCGAUCCGG